GAAUUUAUGAUUCAGCAUAAAUUCGGUUAUUAGUGUAAGCAUAGAUUACUUGUGUUAUUAGCUGUUUCAUCUCUAUUAAAUGUAGGCUAUCAGAUGUAUGUUUGUCAAUGCGCAAUAUGACUGCGCACGCGAUCUUUUCAUUUCGACAUUUGAAAGAAACAGACGGAAUAUUAUUUGGUGAUUUAAAGAUUUAAAGAAAAUUAUUUUGGUGAUUAAAAAGAUAUAGGAUCCACAUUGUGCAGGUUUUGGUACCACUUUUCUACAAUUGGAACUCAGUUGUUUGGCACUAAGAUGAAUACAAGAAGGUCAUCAAAACGAUGGAAAGCCACUGCAACAUUAGGAGCUGCAUCUAGACAAGAGGAAACACAACUUUAACCAGGUUCAGUACCAGCAUCUAACGAUCCCCCAACUUCAGGAUGAUAGUUGUUCUUGUGAUGUAGUAAAUCGACCAGGUAAUGCAAUCGGUAAAGAUCAUUCAAAUCUCACGCAAACAACUAGUUACUCUCCUAGUCUUGAUUAAGAUGUUAGUCAGUACUUAAAAUAAAAUCAAAAAAUCAAACGGGCGAGUAUGUCAUCUUUUUUCUACUUAGGAACAACUCUAUAAUUGAUAAUGAUCAGCAAAAAGUGUCAUAUGAACAGGGAAAACUUGUUAUUAAACCAGUUUUGCCUCAUACAAAAAUAACAAAUAAAGAAAUUGAACUUGAGUAUAAAUAUAUUGUUGCUGAGAUACUUUUGCAGUGGAAUUAAGCUAGAUAUAAAGUUCAACGGUUAGGGACUAGGCAUUCAACAACUAUGUUAAUAUAGCAGUAUUAUUAUAUCCUCAAUCGAUUUGGCUGUAUACUUGAUAGUCCUUGUACAACUGUUCACAUUAUUUAACACACAUUUCGAUGUUUCUCUUUCGAAUACAAAAUCUUUCUAUUUAGAUACGUUACAAUUUGAGAUAAUAAAUUCCUAACGUAAUGUAUCUACAAGCUGCGAUGCCGAUUACGAUUUGAACUUUUCUUGACCUUAGAAAUGGUAUAUAGUAAAUGUAAGGAAACCGUUAACUCUCUGAGAUUGUAAGUUCAUGUCAACGAUUUGCAGACGAUAAUCUUUUCAAAGAUUAAAACUUUUGGUGAUCAAGUUUGUAAAAGUAACUUGCAAUCGAAAAUAGUGUACAAACGAUCUCUACGCUAAUGAUUAAUACUAAUAAAAAAAAAAAAAAAAUUAUUCUAACAAAUGAACUAAAUUACAAAUAAUAUUGUCAUCUCGCCAGAUAUCAAGAAAAAUAUAUAUAUUAUUGAACUCCAUUUAAUUUUAUCUAAGACUGACCAGUGCUUCGAAGGAACCACACACGUUAUUGAUGAGCGGCCUAGAUAUGCUUAUCCUAUUUUUUGCUUAAACGAAAUAGCUUACUAUUUACAAGUUUAGACCUGUCGCUGGUUAAUUGCUUUGUUAUAAGUCCCCUACCGAUUGAGUUUAAGGGGACUUAAGGUUCUCACUAUGUUCGUCUGUCUGUCUGUCCACCUGUCAAUCCGGCAAAUCAGUCUUCUACAUUUUUGUUUUCGUGCUUGAAGAUAUCGGUUUGAUAUUUGGUGUAUUGUUUUAUCAUGACAAGUUACUGACCAAGUAUGAAUGUUGUUCCGGUCUGAUGAUUUUGUGCAGAGUUGUGGUCAAAUACACACAAAUAAUUAGUUUUCCGCACAUUUUUUCGUCAUACUUGAAGACGUUGAUUUGAUAAUUGGUAUAUAGUUUUAUCGUGACAAGUUACAGAUCAGGUUCGAAUUGUGUUCCGGUCUGAUGAUUUUGUGCAAACUAUGGUCCUUGGACUAAGAGAAUUCAUUAAAAUAAUCAGUUGUCUGCACAUGUUUUCGUCAUGCUUGAAUAUAUUGAUUUGAUAAAUUGUAUAUAGUUUUAUCAUGAUAAGUUACAGACCAAGUUCGAAUUGCGUUCCAGUAUGAUGAUUCUGUGCAAAGUUAUGGUCCUUGGACUGAGAAAAUGCACUCAAAUAAUCAGUUUUCCGCAUAUUUGUUCGUCUUACUUGAAGAUAUCGAUUUGAUAAUUGGUAUAUAGUUUUAUCAUGACAAGUUACAGAUCAAGUUCGAAUUGUAUUCCAGCCUAAUGAUUUUGUUCAAAGUUAUGGUCCUUGGACUAAGAAAAUUCCCCCAAAUAAUCAGUUUUCCGCAAUUAUUUUUUUUGUUGUUAUUGCUUGAAGAUAUUGAUUUGAUAAUUUGUACAUAGUUUUAUCAUGGUAAGUUACAUAUCAAGUUCAUAUUUUGUUCCAGUCUGCUGAUUUUUGUGCUGAGUUUUGGUCCUUGGACUUAAUAUUCUAUAAAUUCACACACAUUAUCAGUUUUCCUCAAUUUUUUGUUGUUGUCAUGCUUGAAGAUAUAGCUUUAAUAAUUGGUAUAUAGUUUUAUCAUGACAAGUAAUUGCUCAAGUUUCGAGUUUUGUUCCGGUUUGGUGAUUUUGUGCAGGGUAAUGGUCCCUGGACUUAAUAAAAAUUUACUUAAUAAUCAGUUUUCCACAUUUUUUUUUUCUCGUCAUGCUUGAAUAUAUUGACUUGAUAUUUGUUCUAUAGUUUACACCAUGACAAGUUAUAGAUCAAGUUAAUAUUUUGUUCCAGUACAAUGAAUUAUUAACCGGUAGUGGCUAUGUAUUGCAAUGCAUUACUUUCAGAAUGCUUGUUUUGAUAGAACUCCUUUCUCUAAAUAUCAGUUUAGGAGUCCUAAAAUAGUCACUGAAUAUUUUCGGAUUAAGUCAAGGGAUACAAAGUUCUCGUUUCUUCAGGAAAGGCGCUGCUACAGAGCUGCCACAAAUGGUUGACCUGAUUCUAAACCUCAGGCAAUGUGUUCAUGGAAGUCUAUGUCAUUUCGUUCAAAUAUUCAAAUACAACAAUGGGUAUAACUGUUUGAAUUUUUUCUAAUUUUAUAUUUAGAACUUGCAAUUACUUUAGUAAUACUAACCGUUAUGUAAGAUUAGCAGUUUCGCCAGUAAUCAUUAGAGUUUGGUUUCCACCUUUGUAGAAAACGAAUUUAUUCAAGUUUGGAAUAUACCAGGUGGCAUUCAUCUUGUACAAGAUUAAACUGGAAUUCAGUUUUCAAUAUCUCUAAUUUUACACAUAUGUAGAUACGCGGAAUUGAUUGAAUUGACAAUACGACAGGAGUAUAACAUAUAAGAUGUGGGAAAAUACUGUGAAUAUAGUUUCUGUUCUUUUACUGAAUAUCAGAUUGUUGUGGUCUUAAGUUUGCCAAAUAAACAUGACAUUAUUCCGUAGUAACAGAAACAAUGAUUAGAACCAGAAAGAGGAUAAUCAGCUGGCUGGCUAGUUUGAUCAUUCGUCAAGGGGGAUAUUGCAAUCAAUACAUACGAUACUCCGAUGUAUCUCCCAAUUCCAUAUUUAAAUGCCAUGAUGGUGAACAUUUGACUCAUAUUGGUAAUACAUUUUGCUUACCACAUUUCAAGGCGCGGUAGAAGCCUUUCUUGUCUACACACCACAUACUUUCCACAAUGUGUAUUAAGAAAUUGCAUGAUAUUCAUUAGAAUUCAGUUAUCGUUAGGGUUUAAAUAUAUGAGUCCUUUAUAUUGUAUUUGGCUCACAGCUUCUACGCAGCUCUAUCCGCUUUUAUGGCGGUUGACCCGACAGUCAUUUAUGACUGUCUUGGUCAAUUUGGCACAUUUCGCUGCGUUUCCUUUAAAUAUGCGUCAUUUGGCGUCAUAUUUCAUUUAGCAUCCAAAACAUUUGAUAUUGUGGGUCUCUGUAUCCCAGGACCACCACACAAAAAUUUACGAAUCUCUGUUUCCCAGGAUUCAUUUAAUUGGAUGCUUCAUUUAUUGUAAAUAAUUAGUUAUCUAGUUAUCUAUCUAUCUAUCUAGUUAUCUUUUUGUAGUCUGCCAAUAUGAAAGGUGACUACGUUUAAUUAAUUAUCUAUUUACUAUAUAUAUAUCUUAAUUAUUUAUCUAUUUAGUUAUCUAGUUAUCGUGUCGUAGUUUGCCAAUAUGAAAGGUGACUACGUUCAUCCAAAUAUCUAUUUACUUUACAUAUAUAUAUCUUAACUGUUUACCUAGUUAUAUGUGUUUAUAAUUUUAUAAUAAAGCUGUGGCCAAAUACUGCCAA